rnacentral:rRNA from 1 species
GACAGAGGGUGCAAACGUUGCUCGGAAUUACUGGGCGUAAAGCGCGUGUAGGCGGGUUGGCAAGUCGGAUGUGAAAUCCCUGGGCUCAACCCAGGAACUGCAUUCGAAACUGCCAGCCUUGAGUAGUGGAGAGGGAAGGCGGAAUUCCGGGUGUAGAGGUGAAAUUCGUAGAUAUCCGGAGGAACACCAGUGGCGAAGGCGGCCUCCUGGACACUUACUGACGCUGAGACGCGAAAGCGUGGGGAGCAAACAGG